rnacentral:pre_miRNA from 1 species
UGUUAAAAUUUUCAUUUUCUACUGUUAAAAAUUUGCAUGAAUGACAAAUAACGAAACAAGUACAUGCCAUGUGUACCUCAUUCUGAUGUGCAGAGACCAAUUUUUAAUAGUAGAAAUGGUUAAUA